rnacentral:lncRNA from 1 species
AAGAUUUCCUUGAUAUAAACAAUAACGAGCAGCUUUCUUACGAAGUGCAUGAGCCUAUUUUUUAUCAUCAGGAACGGUUCCAUGCUGCAAAAAAGUAACUAUUUCGUUUCUGCAAUCCCAUGUUAAGUGAUUAAAAUUUACCUCAUUCUUGUCAGGUUCGAGAAUAGAAUGGAAUAAAUGUAUGAUUCAAGCAUUUGCAUUGUUU